rnacentral:rRNA from 1 species
UCCAGACUCCUACGGGAGGCAGCAGUGGGGAAUAUUGCACAAUGGGGGGAACCCUGAUGCAGCGACGCCGCGUGGGUGAAGGAGCACCUCGGUGCGUAAAGCCCUCUCGGCAGGGAAGAAACAGACGGUACCUGACUAAGAAGCCCCGGCUAACUACGUGCCAGCAGCCGCGGUAAUACGUAGGGGGCAAGCGUUAUCCGGAUUCACUGGGUGUAAAGGGAGCGUAGACGGCGACGCAAGUCUGGAGUGAAAGCCCGGGGCCCAACCCCCGGACUGCUUUGGAAACUGUAUAGCUGGAGUGCAGGAGAGGUAAGUGGAAUUCCUAGUGUAGCGGUGAAAUGCGUAGAUAUUAGGAGGAACACCAGUGGCGAAGGCGGCUUACUGGACUGUAACUGACGUUGAGGCUCGAAAGCGUGGGGAGCAAACAGGAUUAGAUACCCCAGUA